CUCAAUAUUUUCUUUUUCAACCUCACGUUCACUUAUUUCAUAACUGUUAGUUCUUCUCCUUCUCAUGCUCUUUUUAUUUUUUGGGAGGUUAAUACUUUCUCAAUUUCUUCAAUAAAUUUACAUAUGUUGAGGCUUCGAUUUCAUUUAUCUCAAAGUGAGGAGAUUGACAUAUAUGUAUGUACUCCUACAUGGUUUGGGAAAAGAUCAUGUAAAGAAGAGGCAAAGUACAGAAAAAAUCCUUUUCAAGAUGAAGGAAUAAUGUCAGCAAGAUAAUGGAAAUGAAGUAACAUGAAACAAAAGCAAGAUGUGUUUCAUAAACGUGGAAGGAAUCAUGCUCCAUUGUAAUCUUGGAUCAUAUCACUUUUUUUUCUUUCUAUAAAGAGUCGAUGGUGAUGUAUAUUAUAGGCUUUGAAUAAAAUUUGAUCUGCAAAUGGUGAUGAA